UUUUUUUUUUUUUUUAAUUAAUUUAUUUAUUUAUUUAUUUAUGAUACGCACACAGUGAGAGAGAUAGGCAGAGACACAGGCAGAGGAAGAAGCAGGCUCCGUGCACCGGGAGCCCGACGUGGGAUUCGAUACCGGGUCUCCAGGAUCGCGCCCUGGGCCAAAGGCAGGCGCCAAACCGCUGCGCCACCCAGGGAUCCCGGUGCACAGUCUUAUGACCCUGAGGAUCAUGAUCUGAGCGGGAAAUCAAGAGUCAUGUUUAAUGGACUGAGCCACCCAGGUGACCCUGGUUAGAAGUCUUUUUAGUAAAAGUAUUUUAAGUGGCUUUAAUCACAAAAAAUAUUCAUGCUGUAUUUAUACUAGCUUAUGCUUUUUUUUUUAUACUGUGUUAAUAAGUAUCUUCAUUUGCAUCAACAGUACUUUUAACGUUAUUUUAUCUGCCUUUAAAGGGCUCUUGACUUGGAGGGGGCAUAGUAAAGGACUGCCAGGCCCCAGUGGUUGUGAAGCAGUAAGCUUUGGGUGGGGCCUCGCAUCAGCACUUCUGAGCAUCACAGAGAAUUCUGAUGUACGUUACUGGCCUGAACCACUGAUCUAAUUCCAAAAAUGGGUGGCAAAAGAAAAACAAGACAAGACUUUUUGUUUUGCUUUUUGAAAUGCAGUUAUUUUUUUAAGCUGACCACUACUGAAGAUUAUUCAUUCACAGGGAUGGGGGUGUGACAGGAGUGAUGAUCUAUCUGGGAGUAUCCAGCUGUUGUGUGUGCUUUAUCUUGGCACCUCCCCAGACUGUGAGCUCUCUACUGAACUAUGCCUUGUCCCUCUCUAUCUUAGCGCUUCACACAGUACGUGGUAAAGAGUGGGCUCCCUGCAUGGAGCCUGCUUCUCCCUCUGCCUGUGUCUCUGCCUCUCUCUCUCUCUCUCUCUCUUUUAUAAAUAAAUAAAAUUUAAUUAAAAAGUGGGUAUUUAAUGAAUCAGUGCUUUUCCCAUCAACAGUAUAUGGUGAACAGUAUUCAUACUAUCUUCCCACUUUUAAGAUGAACUCAGUUUAAAGUUUGUUGAUUUCCCUGAGCUGGGUGAGAUGUGAGCUUGGGGCUGUUGGCUCCUUGGACAGUGCUCUGUGGAUGAGACCUAGGUGUUCCUUUCUCUGUCCUUUUUGUUCUCUGAGCAGAUUUAUUUAUUUUUUCCACAACAGUUAAGUAAAUAGUCUGUUUUUCAGUCAAUUAUUAAGUAAUUUGUGAGCUCCUUGAGAGCAGGAACUAUAUCAUGGAGUUUCAUUUUAUACAUAGCACAGAGUAAACAUGUUUUUUGCCAUCCAGGGUUAUUUAAAUGAUAAAUGUCAAUGAAGACCAAAUUUUGGUUAAAUAAUAGUUGUAGAUAUGCUAAAUUUUUCAAGGUACUAUUAUUAAGCAAAGUUUUUUUUUUUUAACUUGUAAAAAUACUGCUUUUGUAGUAGCAGAAAUUAUGGUUUUCCUUAUUUUUGUAGACUAGGAAGACUUAUUAAUUACCUUCUGAAUUUUGUAUCAACUUUUCUAUAAUAGCUUAUGCUCUAUACUAUGUAUAGUAAUUUAUGAAACUUCUGUUACAUCAUUUAGAUAAUUAUGACAUGUUUAUAAAAUAAACUGUUAAACCUCAUGUAAUUAUUAGCCUUAUUUUUUAAGAAUGUGGAAUCUAAACAGAUGUAAUAAAUGAGUACCAGAUUGCAUGUUCCUUAUCGUCACACAUUAUCUUGUUUAAUCUUCAGAAUAACUUUGUGAAGUGGAUGGUAUUAUCUUGUUUUUAUAGCUGAAAGAGUUUGAGGCCUUCAACAGGGCAGCGUGACUUCUCCAAAGGCAGGUGGUGGAACAUUUAUCCAUAGUUAUUUCUGCUUAUUUCUCUUCUUCUGUCCUUGAGGACUUUAGGAAGAAAAUCCUCUUCUCUCCACCUCCGUGAUUCUCUGGAGGUUGAGCUCUGUCACUGUAGGCUAGUUGGAGAGGUCUCAGGUUCUGUAUACUUGGCCCUUGCUUUUCCCAGGAAGAGAAGAGAGACUGAGCUUGUGGUAGACUGGUGGGACUGGAGACACAGGGACACACUGUGAGAGUGGGUUCACGAGUUCCUCCAGAAUGGCUUUUGCUGGGAGGUUUGCCCUUUUAGUUUCUGUCCUGAGGGUUCCAGGGCCUUGAAUGGGUAUUAUUUCAAAGUAGUAUUUGGUAUCUUGGUGUAUGAUGAAAAAUUAGAUCAUCUUCCCUUGAUCCCCUGUUUUAGAAUGCAGGUUGCCUAAUUUGGAACUCUCAGUCUUGAGAUUGGGAGUUCUUUACUAGUCCCGCACCACCACAAGAGCUCAUCACUGGAGCCUGCUGGCCUUUUAUUCUCAAAGUCUAAGUAGUGGCACUCCUUGAGGUUUUUGUUUUUUUAAAGAUCUUAUUUAUGUAUUCAUGAGAGACCCAGAGAGAGAGGCAGAGACACAGGCAGAGGGAGAAGCAGGCUCCAUGCAGGAAGCCCGAUGUGGGACUCGAUCCCAGGACCCAGGAAUCAUGACCUGAGCCAAAGGCAGACACCCAACCACUGAGCCACCCAGGUGUCCCACUCCUUGAGUUUCUUGAAGAGAUUAUAUCAGCCUCACAGCCUGUUCAUUACAGGCCAGAAAAGGCACCUCAAACACCUCAAAGCCAAAAGUCCUUUGGAAAAGCCUUCUGUGCUUUGCUUUGGGUCUUGGCUUUCACCUUGGGGAGGCUCUGGGUCACAUUUGGCUGCUCCUCCACUGUUCUCUAGGUCUUCCCUCUGUCAUGGCUUCCUAACCUUCCAAAGCAACUCUACCAGGUGCCCCCUCCCUACCCACCCUUCCUUCCUUCUUCCCUCCCCUCUACUACCUGAGUGAUCUGAAACAGCCAUUUCUAGCUUUAUUCUGUUAAUAAAGUUCUUUAAUGGCUUUGCAUUGCUUAGGGCUGAAGUGAAAGAUGCCUAAAGUGGGGACAGUGUGGGUUGGGUCUGGCAGGUAUUCUAAAGCUGGUCAGUAAGCUGAGAUAAACCCUAUUGGUAUGUUAACUGGUCACCGAGACACCUGGAGAGCUCACUAGACUUAAAGGGACAGCCCCCCCCAAAAAAUAAAAUAAUAAAAAAAA
rnacentral:lncRNA from 1 species